GAAAGGCCAAUCAAACCGGGAGAUAGCUGGUUCUCCCCGAAAUCUAUUUAGGUAGAGCCUCGGACGAAUUCCAUUGGGGGUAGAGCACUGUUAAGGCUAGGGGGUCAUCCCGACUUACCAACCCUUUGCAAACUCCGAAUACCAAUGAGAACUAUCCGGGAGACACACGGCGGGUGCUAACGUCCGUCGUGGAGAGGGAAACAACCCAGACCGCCAGCUAAGGUCCCAAAAUAUUGCUAAGUGGGAAACGAUGUGGGAAGGCAUAGACAGCUAGGAGGUUGGCUUAGAAGCAGCCACCCUUUAAAGAAAGCGUAAUAGCUCACUAGUCGAGUCGGCCUGCGCGGAAGAUGUAACGGGGCUAAAACUAUAUGCCGAAGCUGCGGAUUUGCAAUUUAUUGCAAGUGGUAGGGGAGCGUUCUGUAAGCCGAUGAAGGUGUAUUGAGAAGUAUGCUGGAGGUAUCAGAAGUGCGA
rnacentral:rRNA from 1 species